UUAUUUUGACCCCCACGCCAUGAAAGCAGAAACAUCACGUGCUGACACUAUGUUUUUUCACCGAUAUGUAAAAACAACCAUUAUUACAAUGUAAUUUCUUGCUUGUCUCCAGCAGAUAUAUUUGACCUUUGACCCUCCACUUGAGUCUGGUUCCUUAAUGAGGUGGGAGAGUUUCUGACAGCUGUUCUCAGUCUUGUUUUAUUCUAGAAUCCAAGAGUUCCGGAAUGACUGAGGCAGAAGCCCUUAGUGGCCUCAUCAGUUUGGAUGUUCCAAAGGCAACAGCCCUUAGUGACCUCAUCAGUUGGGAUGUUCCAAAGGCAGCAGCCCUUAGUGACAUCAUCAGUGUGGAUGUUCCAAAGGCAGCAGCCCUUAGUGACCUCAUCAGUUGGCAGCAGCCCUUAGUGACCUCAUCAGUUGGCAGCGGCCCUUAGUGGCCUCAUCAGUUGGACCUCAUCAGUUGGGAUGUUCCAUAGGCUGCAGCCAUUAGUGACCUCAUCAGUUGGCAGCGGCCCUUACUGGCCUCAUCAGUUGGACCUUAUCAGUUGGGAUGUUCCAUAGGCAUACUGUGUGUCCAUUCACUUCAAAUCCCUCUGUCUGGACCUGCAGCUCUCUGGCCUCUUUUCACCAGUGUGAGGAACUCCAGUAGUUGGUUACUAGUGUUCAUGGUUGCUACCGGUUGUUGAGGAUGUUUGCUACGUGUGUGUGAUUGGUUUAACUGGGGCAGCUGACUGUAUGUAACUGAUGUAACUAGUUUAAACUAUGUGUAACUAUUUGGGACCAGUAACUAAGAGGUUGACAGAUGUGUGUGAUUGGUACUGGGUCUUACUGGCAUCAGUGUAACUGGGCCGUAACUGGUUAUGUAACUGUUUAUAUCUGGUUCUAAACGGGUUCUGACUGGUUCUAACUGGUAGUUAGUGGUUGAACAGGACGCUGCGCGGCACCCAGCCCUCUGCAGGCGGAGACUCCGUGUUGGCCGGU
rnacentral:lncRNA from 13 species